UCAACAUUGAUGACAAAAUUUUCUCUUGAAGCUCCCCAAAAAUCGCCCAAGCCAUAAGCUAUGGGAGAAAUGCACUAAAUCCCACGAUUUAAAACAAGGUUCUGCCUCCAGCGCUUUCCACUUUUGCGGUCCAGGAACUGCUUCUGCGGUCUAGUUUUUGCAUAAAUCUAGGCCCUUCUGCAAUCUCUCAAAUCACCCGACCAACCGCUUCUACGUUCUACCCAUCGCAGAAACGAUUUUGCUUCUGCGGAACAAAAUCUGCUUCUACGGCUUCUGGCCAAAUGUCCACUUUCCGC
rnacentral:lncRNA from 1 species